UAUGUACUCCCUCCGUCCGAAAAUACNNNNNNUAAGGAUAAAUGUAUCUAGACUUAUUUUAGUUAUAGAUACAUCCAUUAUAUCCAUUUCUAGGACAAGUAUUUCCGGACGGAGGGAGUAACCU
rfam:Hordeum vulgare subsp. vulgare, WGS project CAJW01000000 data, contig: morex_contig_61186